rnacentral:rRNA from 1 species
GUUAAGCGACUAAGCGUACACGGUGGAUGCCCUGGCAGUCAGAGGCGAUGAAGGACGUGCUAAUCUGCGAUAAGCGUCGGUAAGGUGAUAUGAACCGUUAUAACCGGCGAUUUCCGAAUGGGGAAACCCAGUGUGUUUCGACACACUAUCAUUAACUGAAUCCAUAGGUUAAUGAGGCGAACCGGGGGAACUGAAACAUCUAAGUACCCCGAGGAAAAGAAAUCAACCGAGAUUCCCCCAGUAGCGGCGAGCGAACGGGGAGCAGCCCAGAGCCUGAAUCAGUGUGUGUGUUAGUGGAAGCGUCUGGAAAGGCGCGCGAUACAGGGUGACAGCCCCGUACACAAAAAUGCACAUGCUGUGAGCUCGAUGAGUAGGGCGGGACACGUGGUAUCCUGUCUGAAUAUGGGGGGACCAUCCUCCAAGGCUAAAUACUCCUGACUGACCGAUAGUGAACCAGUACCGUGAGGGAAAGGCGAAAAGAACCCCGGCGAGGGGAGUGAAAAAGAACCUGAAACCGUGUACGUACAAGCAGUGGGAGCACGCUUCGG